GCCCGCCUAGCUCAAUCGGAUAGAGCGUCAGACUCUUAAUCUGAAGGCUGCAAGUUCAACCCUCGUGGUGGGCU
rnacentral:tRNA from 1 species